CUGCGUGGGAGGGUGGACCUGUGGAGGAGGAGAAGAGGUUGCGUUUUGGCUCAACCAUCGCGAUAUGUUUUGGUAAUUAUAUUGUAUUUUGUAAAAUAUUUAGGAUAUUAAAAUGAAUAAUUAUAAUUUAUUGGUAUUUAUCUAAUAUAAUUUACUCAUCCAUAUACGUAUAAAACAAAUUUUUGCUCUGUAUACAUGACAGAUAGGCAAAAUUGGUGAGGUGUCAUCCAGUCACCUCCACACAUAUGUUUACGACCUUAUAUUCAGUCAUGGUAGCACUAAAAUAUGAUCAUAAGUAAUGCUACGCAUCUUAAUGACCAUUUUGUGCAAUAGGAUCAUGACCUAAUGAACACAAAAGGUCAUAACGUUAUUGGCUUUGGACCCUCUUAGACUUGCCAUGACUAAUUUCAGAAUUUUGGUCAUGGAUCAAUGACCAAUUAAACCGCCGUCAUUAUUUUUGGUCAUGAUUGAGCAUUUUUCUUGUAAUGGAACUACCAAGGCUCGGUGGAAUCACAAAGGGGCAUUUCUCUCUAUAGAGAGCUACUAAGGCCUACGACUAGGUGUCGAAUCCCAUACAUAUCACAGUGCAUCACACGUACGCAUGACAUACUAGAUAUGCAUAGAUACAACAAUGGCAU
rnacentral:lncRNA from 1 species